UUCUUUAUGAUAUGUAGAAUAGGAGUGCCGUAGUGUGUCAGGAGAUUGAGAGAGUCGAGCUCGGACUAGGGCAGGGACGGCGAAGGGCAGGUAUCUGCCGCAGCGGCGUAAGAACAGAGGGGAGGUGCCGCAGCCGGCCGGGGAGGAGAGGGUCGGUAGAGAGGAGGUACAGCGCGCGGCUCGGGCAGGAGGGAAGGGAGCUACCGAAGCAGGCGUAGGAGGAGGCUGACGGUGCCACCGAGCUAACCAAGCUAGGUGGCGGUAGGUGCGGGCUGUCCAAUAAGGCUGCUACCCCGCCGCCGCUUCGAAUCGCGCUACUGUCUCGGAAGGAGGUCGAGAUGGUUCUUUGGGAGCGAGAGGCAGGCAGAAGGAGGGAAACGGUCGUGGUGGAUCGCAGCGGUACCAGCCACCGGCGCUGGUGGUUGUUCUCCUUAGCGCUCCGCCGCCGCCGCCGUGGUUCCCCUUCGGCGUCGGGCAGUGACGGUUCCUUUUCGCCCAGUGUCGAUUCCUUCACAGCCUCAGCUCCUUCGGGCUGAUGUUGGAAUUCUUUCUGUAGCUUCAUGAUACCCCUUUCUACUAUCCAGCAGUAAACUCGUUCCUCCUAUAUUAGUUCGAUCAAUGGCUCCGGGAGGCAUUUUACCUAACCUUUAUAAACCUUAAAGACCUAGGGUAUGUACACACAUCACCAAGAGUGUGAGUUCUCUCACCGUUCCAAUCCUGCGUAUAAUAGUCUUAGAACUUCUUCGUCUAAUACUUCGAACUACAGUCACUAAUACCUACGGAACAAGAUAAACUUCUCGACUGUUUCGUCAAUUUCCUUUAGUAUAACUAUUCGAAUUUGUCCAGGUAGAAACUGGUUCAUAUCCUGCCCGUCUACAGCGCUUUCCUUAUGAGUACCAAAGACUUCUGACUGGUACGAGGGAGCUCAUGAUGCGUCGUUGUUUGAGUCAUUUUUCUCCCGAGUCUGUACCGCUGUUCUUACUUCCACCUCCCUUUCCUCACCUCUCUUUCAUAAGACCUCCAGUCCUACCGUUUGGAUCCCUCAAGCCCGUAUACUGCAGGUUUACUCCAACUAAACUUAGGGGCCCAUACACCAAUACGUACUCGACACCUUCGUUUCCACACACAGCCGACCAAUACGUACUCGACACCUUCGUUUCCACACACAGCCGACCUCGACUAAAUGCCCCGACAGUAAACCUACCAUGGUUUGACAUUAUUAUGUCUGAGGGUGAGUUUUAAAGUGACGUGGUUUCCGAGAGCAGUCCUACCGUUUGGAUCCCUCAAGUCCGUGGUACUUUGUAUUGAAGGAAACGGUAGCCUCUCUUUCUUCUGCCAUCCGCGCGAGUCCUCUACUGCGUCGUUGUUGGCAGCUCGCCUCCAACACAAACCUCCGCUGGUCGUCUCCGACGUCGAGGGUGUCGAGCGCACGCUUGCUACACCGGCCUGCUGCUAACUUCGCCGCAAAGACAAAACCGCCGCACGAAAGCGCACACCUACCUCGAGCAUGCGGUCCUUCUUGACCGCAGAACUACCUCGAGCAUGCGGUCCUUCUUGACCGCAAGCAACCGCCCAGCUUCUUCAAACUAAAAACCAGCUACCUGGAGCAGGAGCAAGCACCCAACGCCUCGACAAAAAAACAACUGACCCGCGCUAGCACCCCAAGGUACCUGAAUAGCAAGCACACAACUUGACACCUAGAGCAUGCACCCGACUCAACAACAUAAAAAAAAACGCCCGCGACUCAACCACAAAAAAGCAUGCACCCGAUACAACCACCCGACGACGCACGCACACC
rnacentral:rRNA from 1 species